AGCAGUGAUGAGUAGAAUGUAUGACUUGGUAUUGUCUAUCCUUGUGAGGACUCUGACCAGGAUAUGAACAGUUAAUCUUCUCUCUGAGCUG
ensembl:snoRNA